GGAAAGUGGCCGGUUAUGGGGAAGGGAGAUAUGCAGCUAAAAGAGCAGAAAAGAGGCAUGUGUGUAUCUCUGAAAAAUAACAGGAAACCCAUGUGAAACUUUCAUGUGCAGUUUCUAGGUUUGGUUUGCAGCAAGGAAGAAAGAACAAGGACUUGUACCUCACCUUCAAAUCAGCCACCAGGAAGGUUUUGAGAGAUAAAAUUGUUACAGCGUGGAAACUGCAACACGCAUAUCAAUCAACGAGGCCUGUGGAAAAUAAAUAUAUA